rnacentral:misc_RNA from 1 species
UCACACCGUUGCACACACCAGAAGAGCUGAAGGAAAUGGGAUUUCAUUUGAUUGUUCAUCCACUUACUUCCCUGUAUGCCUCAGCCCGUGCACUGGUUGAUGUCCUCAAAACUCUGAAGGAGAAUGGAACUACUAGAGAUCACCUCCAUAAAAUGGCUACUUUUGAGGAAUUUAAUCAACUGGUUAAUUUGGAGUCUUGGUUUGAGCUUGAAGCACGAUAUUCAAAUUUCAAGAAUGGAAUUACAGUGAAAAGAUGAUCAGAAAAAGAGCAAUUCUUGAUCGUUGUUCCC